GAGUUUGAUCAUGGCUCAGGAUGAACGCUGGCGGCGUGCCUAAUACAUGCAAGUCGAGCGAACAGAUAAGGAGCUUGCUCCUUUGAAGUUAGCGGCGGACGGGUGAGUAACACGUGGGUAACCUACCUAUAAGACUGGGAUAACUUCGGGAAACCGGAGCUAAUACCGGAUAACAUUUAGAACCGCAUGGCUACUAAAGUAGAAAGA
rnacentral:rRNA from 1 species